rnacentral:rRNA from 1 species
UCGAUGGAGAGUUUGAUCCUGGCUCAGGACGAACGCUGGCGGCGUGCUUAACACAUGCAAGUCGAGCGAGGUCCAACCAGCCGCAAGGCUGGGGAAGACCUAGCGGCGAACGGGUGA